GAUAGAGGUUGCGGGACGCAUCAGUAGCGCGGCGAGGGCUCCGAGGGCCCUUUGACCCGGCGCAAAAGGGCCUCCCGCCGAAGAGGAACGUCCCCCGGAGGGCUCUCCUCUGGGCGUGCAGGCGAAAGCCGCACGACUGUCACCGGUUGGGUCCGGUGGAGCGCUGUCUG
rnacentral:ncRNA from 1 species